rnacentral:misc_RNA from 1 species
UCCGGUUUGUCACCGGCAGUCUCAUUAGAGUGCCCUUUCGUAGCAACUAAUGACAAGGGUUGCGCUCGUUGCGGGACUUAACCCAACAUCUCACGACACGAGCUGACGACAGCCAUGCAGCACCUGUGUGCCAGUUCUCUUUCGAGCACCCCCGCAUCUCUGCAGGGUUCUGACCAUGUCAAGGGUAGGUAAGGUUUUUCGCGUUGCAUCGAAUUAAUCCACAUCAUCCACCGCUUGUGCGGGUCCCCGUCAAUUCCUUUGAGUUUUAACCUUGCGGCCGUACUCCCCAGGCGGUCAACUUCACGCGUUAGCUUCGUUACCAAGGAAUUGCUUCCCCGACAACCAGUUGACAUAGUUUAGGGCGUGGACUAC